GCGAGGGAUAGCUCAGUCAGUAGAGCAUGAGAAUCUGAAUAUCGGGGUCAUGGGUUUGAGCCCCAUGUUGGGCA